rnacentral:rRNA from 1 species
AGUCGAGGGGUAUAGUAGCAAUACUAGAGACCGGCGCACGGGUGCGUAACGCGUAUGCAAUCUACCUUUUGCAGAGGGAUAGCCCAGAGAAAUUUGGAUUAAUACCUCAUAGUAUAGUGAUACCGCAUGGUACUACUAUUAAAGUCACAACGGCAAAAGAUGAGCAUGCGUCCCAUUAGCUAGUUGGUAAGGUAACGGCUUACCAAGGCAACGAUGGGUAGGGGUCCUGAGAGGGAGAUCCCCCACACUGGUACUGAGACACGGACCAGACUCCUACGGGAGGCAGCAGUGAGGAAUAUUGGACAAUGGGCGCAAGCCUGAUCCAGCCAUGCCGCGUGCAGGAUGACGGUCCUAUGGAUUGUAAACUGCUUUUAUACGAGAAGAAACAUCCCGACGUGUCGGGACUUGACGGUAUCGUAAGAAUAAGGAUCGGCUAACUCCGUGCCAGCAGCCGCGGUAAUACGGAGGAUCCAAGCGUUAUCCGGAAUCAUUGGGUUUAAAGGGUCCGUAGGCGGUCUUAUAAGUCAGUGGUGAAAUCUCCCCGCUCAACGGGGAAACGGCCAUUGAUACUGUAGGACUUGAAUUAUUAGGAAGUAACUAGAAUAUGUAGUGUAGCGGUGAAAUGCUUAGAGAUUACAUGGAAUACCAAUUGCGAAGGCAGGUUACUACUAAUGGAUUGACGCUGAUGGACGAAAGCGUGGGUAGCGAACAGGAUUAGAUACCCUNNAGUCCACGCCGUAAACGAUGGAUACUANCUGUUGGGAGUAAUCUCAGUGGCUAAGCGAAAGUGAUAAGUAUCCCACCUGGGGAGUACGUUCGCAAGAAUGAAACUCAAAGGAAUUGACGGGGGCCCGCACAAGCGGNGGA